rnacentral:rRNA from 1 species
GUGACAACCAGGAGGUUGGCUUAGAAGCAGCCAUCCUUGAAAGAGUGCGUAAUAGCUCACUGGUCAAGUGAUUGAGCGCCGACAAUGUAGCGGGGCUGAAGUACACCGCCGAAACCGCGGCAGACAAUAGUUUUUGUUGUUUGGGUAGGGGAGCGUCCUGCGCGAGGUGAAGCCAUGGCGUGAGCUUGUGGUGGAUUGUGUGGGAGUGAGAAUGCAGGCAUGAGUAACGUUUGGGAGGUGAGAAUCCUUCCCGCCGUAUGACUAAGGGUUCCAGGGGUAGGUUCGUCCUCUCUGGGUUAGUCGGGUCCUAAGGCGAGGCCGACAGGCGUAGUCGAUGGGUGACCAGUUCUUAUUCUGGUACCGGUUUUAUUGCGUCCAGUGUCUUCUGCGUUGAUGCUAACCAUCCCGCCUACACCUUGUAAGCGAAUGAGGCGUUUGUCUUGUUUGUUGUUGGUGUGGGUGGCGUGGGGUCCUAAGUGUGGGAGGCAAGCGUGUUAACAGGUGUGACGCAGGGAGGUAGCUUCGCGUGCCUAAUGGCUUGGCGCGUUUAAGGGUGUGGCCCGUCUCUUUGGUAAAUCCGGGGGACAUAGUGGGUGAGGCCUGAUGGUGACCGUUUUUAUAGCGGGAAGUAGGGUGAUCCUGUACUGCCGAGAAAAGCAUCGACGUGAGUGGUAAGACCGCCCGUACCCGAAACCGACACUGGUAGUUGGGUAGAGCAUACUAAGGCGUGCGAGUGAAUCGUGGUUAAGGAACUCGGCAAAAUGCCCCCGUAACUUUGGGAGAAGGGGGGCCCACUCUUUGCCUGUCUCUUGUCUAGACGUGGUGGGGGGUUGGGUCGCAGAGUCUAGGGAGAAGCGACUGUUUAUCAAAAACACAGGUCCGUGCGAAGCUGUAAGGCGAUGUAUACGGACUGACGCCUGCCCGGUGCUGGAAGGUUAAGCGGACUGGUUAGCCCCUUGUGGGGGCGAGGCUGGGAAGUUAAGCCCCAGUAAACGGCGGUGGUAACUAUAACCAUCCUAAGGUAGCGAAAUUCCUUGUCGGGUAAGUUCCGACCUGCACGAAUGGCGUAACGACUUCUCUACUGUCUCGACCACGAGCUCGGUGAAAUUGCAUUACGAGUAAAGAUGCUCGUUUCGCGCAGCAGGACGGAAAGACCCCGGGACCUUUACUAUAGCUUGGUAUUGGUGUUCGGUACGGUUUGUGUAGGAUAGGUGGGAGACUGUGAUGCAUGGACGCUAGUUUGUGUGGAGUCGUUGUUGAAAUACCACUCUGGUCGUAUUGCAUGUCUAACUUUGGUCCGUGAUCCGGGCUAAGGACAGUGCCUGGUGGGUAGUUUAACUGGGGCGGUUGCCUCCUAAAGGGUAACGGAGGCGCUCAAAGGUUUCCUCAGCCUGGUUGGUCAUCAGGUGGUGAGUGUAAGUGUAGAAGGAAGCUUGACUGUGAGACAGACAUGUCGAGCAGGUACGAAAGUAGGAACUAGUGAUCCGGCGGUGGCUUGUGGAAGCGCCGUCGCUCAACGGAUAAAAGGUACCCCGGGGAUAACAGGCUGAUCCUGCCCAAGAGUUCAUAUCGACGGCAUGGUUUGGCACCUCGAUGUCGGCUCGUCGCAUCCUGGGGCUGGAGUAGGUCCCAAGGGUUGGGCUGUUCGCCCAUUAAAGCGGUACGCGAGCUGGGUUCAGAACGUCGUGAGACAGUUCGGUCCCUAUCCGCUGCGCGCGUUUGAGAAUUGAGAAGGGCUGUUCCUAGUACGAGAGGACCGGGACGGACGAACCUCUAGUGUGCCAGUUGUUCCGCCAGGGGCAUUGCUGGUUGGCCACGUUCGGGAGGGAUAACCGCUGAAAGCAUCUAAGCGGGAAGCCUGCUUCGAGAUUAGUUCUCGUUCCAC